GCGGGCGUAGCUCAAUGGCAGAGCGUCAGCUUCCCAAGCUGAACACGCGGGUUCGAUUCCCGUCGCCCGCUCCA
rnacentral:tRNA from 1 species